UGCGCAGGCGGUUUUGUAAGAUAGAUGUGAAAUCCCCGGGCUUAACCUGGGAACUGCACUUGUGACUGCACGGCUGGAGUACGGCAGAGGGGGAUGGAAUUCCGCGUGUAGCAGUGAAAUGCGUAGAUAUGCGGAGGAACACCGAUGGCGUAGGCAAUCCCCUGGGCCUGUACUGACGCUCAUGCACGAAAGCGUGGGGAGCAAACAGGAUUAGAUACCCCGGUA
rnacentral:rRNA from 1 species